GCAGCGGCUGCUGCUAUAUGAUCACCUGAAGCUGCUGUUUUCCAAGAAAUUGAGAGAUGAAAACAACUCUGGAUUUUUCGAAGUGUUUUUUUCCGCUUUUCUUCUCCGGUGAAUACAAAAUCUACACACCAUGAAUCAAAAUUAUGAAAUCCCUCACUCAUUAUAUUGUAAAUUCUCUCAUCCACUCAGGCCCUAAAACUAUUGUAAGUUUUCUCAUAACUUUGUGCAGUAUGAUUGUCUAUCGUACAAACAUAUGGGUUCAACAAGUAGUUAGCUUUGGUUGAUUUGGUAAAUGUUCGAGAUGGGUUUUGUGAGAUUGAUGAGUAAUAUGAGCCGUUGUAUGCUUGGGAAGGUUUGUUUUCAAUCCAAAUCGAUGAGCAAGAAACAUAUGCGACAGAGUUAUAUCCAUCACCAGCUCAGAGAACGAAUAUCAAGUGUUUGUAAUAAUGCCUGAACCAUCAAUUCUUCAUCAAUAGUUGUUGUUGUAACCAACAGUUGUAUUAGGUGUUGCCAUGGGUUCUGUGGCUUAGUUCUUGUGGUUGUUCUUGGCAGAUUAAGAAGGUUUCCUGGCAAUUAAUACAACCAAGAACAUUAGGUGUGUAAUGGACUUGGAAUCUGCCAGCAAAGUGGUUUGAUUUGUGGUGCGUUUUGGAUCAUCUCUGGUUGGAUAUUGCAGGGAAGAGACAAGUGCUGCUAUCCAGGUUUAUGUGAAUGAAUAUAUGGGUUCUGGUGGCUGUGUUGGGGUGUUCGAAUUGAAGAAGUUUGGGUUGUAUUUCAGCUGACCAAAUCAAAUUCUCACUGACCUAUUGAAGUAGUUCUCUCCCUAAAGGUGCUGGAAGUGGUACAAGUUAUAGGGCAAAUGAUGGUUUUAUACUGGAGCUGGUGUGGUCUGCAAGGGUGAAUUUGUAUACGGCUGUGUUGUUGAUUGUGGUAUAAGGGUACAUGUUAGAUUUGAUUUCUUACAGUCAAAUAUUAUUAAUUGAUUUUUAAAUUUGUUCUAAUUACAUAAUUUCUUACUUCUUUAGUUACUGCAAUGCAAUCAGUAUUUGGGAAGAUAUUUUUGAGCCUGUCGAAGCAAAGGAGAAGAGAUGUAUGUAUACAGGUCUUUGCCCCUUUGGUCAAUGUCGUAAGCAUAAUUGGUUACUGGAAGUUUGUCACACCUGCUACUAGAAAUUUUUCUGAUACUGGUACGAUCUUCUACGAAUCUCAAGGUGGCUGCUGGAGGCUUAUCGACACAGAAGAGGAGGUAUUAAUCUAUCACGAAAUGAUUCACAAAUUUUGGCUGUUAACAGCCUUCCCAGUAGAGGGUUUUGGAGUCUAGGAAUGUCAUUUGAAAUGGGUAUUUAACAUUUAGUUGGGUAUUUAACAUUUAGUUGGAUUCCCAGUAGAUCGCGGAUAAAAUAUCUUUUCUUACAUAUAGCACAACUCUUUUGUGCAUUUCUUUUAACCUGUUCAUGGUGGUGCUUUAGAAAUUCAUCGCAAUCUCAUAUGCAAGCCUUCGAUAUUCUUUUAUAUCUCGAAAUACAUGAAAUUGGGGAAUCACAUUUGCACUCAAUGUUACAAAAAUGGAGGUAUCACUUAGAGAUGCAGUUAGAAGGAAUUCCAAAUGCAGGGACCAUGUGAACCCAGCUGAUGAUUGAAUUCAAACUGAAGUUUCUAAAAUAUUUCAUGGUGGUGCUUAAGAAGUUCAUCGCAGUCUCAUAUGCAGGCCUUCGAUUUUCUUUUAUAUCUCAACAUACAUGGAAUUGGGGAAUCACAUUUGCACUCAAUGUUGCAAAAAUGGAGGUAUCACUUAAAGAUACAGUUAGAAGGAAUUCCAAGUGCAGGGACCAUAUGAACCAAACUGAUGAUUGAAUUCAAACUGAAGUUUCUAAAAUAUUUUCAAGUCCUGAUCAUUUUAUAGGAACUGAAAGUCCUAGCCAUGGCAGUGAAGCGGGUAUUGGAUCUUAGUUCCAUAACUUUAAUGAGAAAGUUUGUUGCGUAGUUUUUGGAUCCUCUACUCAUUCACUGAACAUCCCGGUGUGAACAUCUAAAAAUGAAUUUGAGAAGUUUAUUUUUCUCCAAUCCUACUUCAUUACUUUGGGUUAUAACAGAAAAUGAUGAUGCCUUCGACAUACUAUACUGCAUAACAUUAUCAGUGGCUUUCUAUGAGUGAUUCAUACAUGGAUUUCAAUUUGGAAGAAAGAAUGUGGGUUACAAUGCUAGUAUGUCUCCACAAUGCUAGAAAAAAGAUGAAGAUCCUGUUAGCUUUGUAAGUUUCUAAAUAGUAUCUGCUCAUAGUGACUUACACAAAUUUGUGAACUUAGGAACUUAAGAAGUUUUCUAUGCAGAUAGUUACAAGAAUGCUUGGUAACUAUCUGCAAGUUUUGAGUAUGUGAGUAAGUUGUAUGUAGUUUUUGAGCUGAACUUAUACUGACCUAAGUGAGAAGGAACUGAAGUUAGGAAGUUUCUAUGUUUUCCCUCGGAAUUUGA